rnacentral:tRNA from 3 species
GCGCCUGUAGCUCAGCUGGAUAGAGCACCUGCCUUCUAAGCAGGUUGCCGGGCGUUCGAGUCGCCCCAGGCGCG